GAUGAACGCUGGCGGCGUGCCUAAUACAUGCAAGUCGAGCGGAGAAUUUUUGCUGGUUACAAUACUUAGCCUCGGACGCGUGAGUAACAGUUGCGUAACCUGCCCUAGACAAAGAGAUAACAAUGAGAAAUCAUUGCUAAUACUGUAUCAGCUUACCCUAACUCAUCAUAUAGGAAGAAAUUAUUUAUUGGUUUAGGAGGGGCCCGCGUCUGGUUAUCUUGUUGGAGAGGUAAUUGCUCACCAAGGGGACGAUCAGUAGCCGACCGGAGAGGGUGCUCGGCCAAAUUGGAACUGAGACACGGCCGAAACGCCUACGGGAGGCAGCAGGGGGGAAUAUUGCAGCAUGGAGGAAACUCUGAUGAAGCAACGCCGCGUGAAGGAAGAAGGUUUUCGGAUAGUAAACGUAUAUCUAAAGGGAAGAAAAAAAUGACGGUACCUGAGCAAGAAGCCCCGGCUAACUACGUG
rnacentral:rRNA from 1 species